GGGGGAUAAAUUAAUAAAGUAUAAAUAAUAAAAAAAUUUUUAAUAUUAAAAUAUUUUAAUGGGGGUUAAAGUAUAUUUAAUAGAAAAAAUAAAAAAAUUUAUAGAAAAUUAGUAUUGUAAAAGAAAUUUGAAAUAUAUUGAAAAUAAAUUUAUUUAAAAGUAAAUUUAAAUUAUUGUAUCUUGUGUAUCAGAGUUUAUUAAUAAUAAUUUUUAUUUAAAAAUUUUCUCGAAUUUAAAAGAGAUAAUUAAUUAUUAAAAUUAAUGUUGUAUAAUUAUUUUAAAUAAUUAAUUGGAAAUGAGAUGUUAAUCGUUUUUAAAUAUAUCUAGUUUUUUUAGAAAAAAAUUUAAUUUUAAAUUUUAAAAAAAGUAUAAUUUUAAUUAAUUAAAAUUAUAUUUUUAAAAUUAAAUAUUUUAGGGGAUAAGCUUUAAAAUAAAUUUUUAUAAUAAAUUUUAACAAUAAUUAAAAUUUUUAAAAUUUAUAUUGUUUAUAAAUUAUAAUUUUUUAUAAAUAAUUUUAAUUAAAUUAAAAUUUUAAAUUUAUUUAAUUUUUUAUUAAAAAAUAUUUUUUAAUAAUUAAAAUUUAGAUAUAAUGAUAAAAUUAGUAUAUAAAUGAAUAAAUAAUAUAGUUUAUUAUUUGAUAAUUUAAUAAAAGGAAUUCGGCAAAAAUUAUAUUCACUUGUUUAUCAAAAACAUGUCUUUUUGGUUAAUAAUUUAAAGUCUAAUCUGCCCACUGAUAAUAUAUUAAAGGGCUGCAGUAUUUUGACUGUACAAAGGUAGCAUAAUCAUUAGUCUCUUAAUUGGUGACUUGUAUGAAAGAUUUGAUGAGAUAUAUACUGUCUCUUUUUAAUUUAUAAAAUUUAAUUUUUUAGUUAAAAAGCUAAAAUAUAUUUAAAAGACGAGAAGACCCUAUAGAGUUUUAUAUUUAAAUAAAUUAAAAUUUUUUAUAAGCUUUAAGAUUUUAAUUUAUAUAAAUAUUUUGUUGGGGUGAUAGAAAAAUUAAAAUAACUUUUUUUAUAAUUUUACAUUAAUAAAUGAAUAAAUGAUCCGUAAUUUACGAUUAUAAGAUAAAAUUACCUUAGGGAUAACAGCGUAAUUUUUUUUUUUAGCUCAAAUAAGAAAAAAAGUUUGCGACCUCGAUGUUGGAUUAAGAUAAAAUUUAAAUGCAAAAGUUUAAAAUUUUUGAUCUGUUCGAUCAUUAAAAUCUUACAUGAUCUGAGUUCAAACCGGUGUAAGCCAGGUUGGUUUCUAUCUUUAGAUUAAUAAAAUAUUUUAGUACGAAAGGAUCAAAUAUUUAAAAUAGUUUUAUUUAAAAGAAUUUUAAUAAUAGUAGAUAUUUUUAAAUAUG
rnacentral:rRNA from 1 species